UGGGGAGUACGACCGCAAGGUUGAAACUCAAAGGAAUUGACGGGGACCCGCACAAGCGGUGGAGCAUGUGGUUUAAUUNGAAGCAACGCGAAGAACCUUACCAAAUCUUGACAUCCUUUGACCGCUCUAGAGAUAGAGUCUUCCCCUUCGGGGGACAAAGUGACAGGUGGUGCAUGGUUGUCGUCAGCUCGUGUCGUGAGAUGUUGGGUUAAGUCCCGCAACGAGCGCAACCCUUAAGCUUAGUUGCCAUCAUUAAGUUGGGCACUCUAAGUUGACUGCCGGUGACAAACCGGAGGAAGGUGGGGAUGACGUCAAAUCAUCAUGCCCCUUAUGAUUUGGGCUACACACGUGCUACAAUGGACAAUACAAAGGGCAGCUAAACCGCGAGGUCAAGCAAAUCCCAUAAAGUUGUUCUCAGUUCGGAUUGUAGUCUGCAACUCGACUACAUGAAGCUGGAAUCGCUAGUAAUCGUAGAUCAGCAUGCUACGGUGAAUACGUUCCCGGGUCUUGUACACACCGCCCGUCACACCAGCGAGAGUUUGUAACACCCGAAGCCGGUGGAGUAACCAUUUAUGGAGCUAGCCUCGAAGGGGCAGNG
rnacentral:rRNA from 1 species